UCUUUUCUCAAGACAGAAAAGGUGAAGUCAAUGUCAGCAAUGUCACUGUAGAACUUCAGACCAUUUAUGAAAUCCAUUUGAAAAACCUGAGCAGACUCUCAGACCCUGUGAAAAGUCUGAAGUAUAUUUCCAGACAUCUCUCUAUCAUCACUUUACAGCAUUUGGAUCACUUGUAUUCAGAAGUUUGCUACAGGCAGUAUGAAAAUAUUGGGAAAAGCACAGUGUGCAAUGGUAUUAGAGCCAGGUGAACAAUGCAAUCCUGGUUGUCUGGAUCUCUAACUGUGACUGCAAAGCACAAAGUCUA